rnacentral:rRNA from 1 species
GUAGUCAUAUGCUUGUCUAAAAGAUUAAGCCAUGCAUGUCUAAGUAUAAACUGAAUUAUACAAGUGAAACUGCGAAUGGCUCAUUAAAUCAGUUAUAAUUUAUUUGAUAGUACCCUUUACUACUUGGAUAACCGUGGUAAUUCUAGAGCUAAUACAUGCACACAAAAUCCUGACCUUUAUGGAAGGGAUGCAGUUAUUAGAUACAAAACCAACCCGGGCAACCGGUCCCUUGGUGAUUCAUGAUAACCUUGCAAAUCGCACGGCCUUGCGCUGGCGAUGGGUCAUUCAAAUUUCUGCCCUAUCAACUUUCGACGGUAGGAUAGAGGCCUACCGUGGUGACAACGGGUAACGGGGAAU